rnacentral:rRNA from 1 species
UACGUAGGGUGCAAGCGUUUGUCCGGAAUUAUUGGGCGUAAAGAGCUCGUAGGCGGUCUGUCGCGUCUGCUGUGAAAACUCAGGGCUUAACCCUGAGCUUGCAGUGGGUACGGGCAGACUAGAGUGCGGUAGGGGAGACUGGAAUUCCUGGUGUAGCGGUGAAAUGCGCAGAUAUCAGGAGGAACACCGGUGGCGAAGGCGGGUCUCUGGGCCGUAACUGACGCUGAGGAGCGAAAGCAUGGGGAGCGAACAGG